GCUCCCAUGGCGUAGUGGUCACUGCACUUGCCUUGCACGCGGGAGACCCGGGUUCGAUUCCCGACGAGGUCA
rnacentral:tRNA from 1 species